GACUGUGGCCAUACCACCCUGAACAUUCCCGAUCUCAUUUGAUCUAGGAAGCUAAACAGGGUCGGACCUAGUUAGUACUUGGAUGGGAGUUUAGAGAAAAAAAAAAUAUUUAAAGACU
rnacentral:rRNA from 1 species